GAGAGAGAGAGAGAGAGACGAUAAACAAAUGAAAUGUAGCCAAGGAGGCAAAAUGGAGGUCAGUGCUUGUGGCGUUGUAGCUUUUGGUGAAGGACAAGGAAGACCGAAGAAGAGAUUGACUAGCUGGCGAUUGGUGUUGCCAUUUAUAGUCAAGAUUGAGAAAGUGACCAAUGAGCGAAAGAAGGUAUCGAAAUGGCAGUCCGGGCUUGGUAGGUUUAAAGAGGAAACGGCAUAAG
rnacentral:misc_RNA from 1 species